UACGGAGGGUGCAAGCGUUAAUCGGAAUUACUGGGCGUAAAGCGUGCGUAGGUGGUUCGUUAAGUCCGUUGUGAAAGCCCCGAGCUCAACUUGGGAAUUGCAGUGGAUACUGGCGAGCUGGAGUGCGGUAGAGGAAGGUGGAAUUCCCGGUGUAGCGGUGAAAUGCGUAGAGAUCGGGAGGAACACCAGUGGCGAAGGCGGCUCUCUGGGACGUCCCUGACACUGAGGCGCGAAAGCGUGGGGAGCGAACAGG
rnacentral:rRNA from 1 species